UGGGGAAUAUUGCACAAUGGGCGCAAGCCUGAUGCAGCGACGCCGCGUGGGGGAUGACGGUCUUCGGGUUGUAAACUCCUUUCGCUAGGGACGAAGCUUUUUGUGACGGUAUCUCGAUAUGAAGCACCGGCUAAAUACGUUCCAGCAGCCGCGGUAAUACGUAGGGUGCGAGCGUUGUCCGGAAUUACUGUGCGUAAAGGGCGCGUAGGUGGUAUGUCGCGUCGUCUGUGAAAUUCCGGGGCUUAACUCCGGGCGUGCAGGCGAUACGGGCAUAACUUGAGUACUGUAGGGGUAACUGGAAUUCCUGGUGUAGCGGUGAAAUGCGCAGAUAUCAGGAGGAGCACCGAUGGCGAAGGCAGGUUACUGGGCAGUUACUGACGCUGAGGAGCGAAAGAAUGGGUAGCGAACAGG
rnacentral:rRNA from 1 species